rnacentral:rRNA from 1 species
UACGUAGGGCGCAAGCGUUGUCCGGAAUUAUUGGGCGUAAAGAGCUCGUAGGCGGUUUGUCGCGUCUGCUGUGAAAUCCCGAGGCUCAACCUCGGGCUUGCAGUGGGUACGGGCAGACUAGAGUGCGGUAGGGGAGACUGGAAUUCCUGGUGUAGCGGUGAAAUGCGCAGAUAUCAGGAGGAACACCUAUGGCGAAGGCAGCUCGCUGGGACGGUACUGACGCUGAGGCGCGAAAGCGUGGGGAGCGAACAGG